GGCGGGCUAUGCCAGACGCACGCCUCUUUGUACUGCCAGCGACUGGUGCCAUCAGCAGUGACUGCCGCUUUGAUCCCCUGCAGAUUUCCAUGUAUGUUAAGAUUUCUCGAAGCACCUUUAAACGUUGUUAUACAGUCUGAGCCAGAUGGAGCACCGUGCAGAUUGCAGAUACCUGACGACGUAGGAGGAAGACAUCAGUGCAUCGGCCGCUGUAAUGGAGGUACCUGCCUCGAUAUUGGAAAUUGCCAUGGGCUGGAACUGUUGAAACAGGGCCGAAGCUCCGGGACAAGACAUUAUGAUAAUAUCAACGUUGCCAAUAGCGACAAUCACGAAAGCAGCACUCCGUUCUUAUCUGGCGGCGGCCCUGCGCGCGCGGUCUUUCUCACAAAACCAGACACCAUUUGGCAUGCUGACCAAGUUAAAAGCAAUAGCAGAAAAUACGAUGACGCUAGAGUACCAGGCCCUCUACGUGCACUUGCACCACUAUUACGAGUGAAACGUUCCCCAAGAAGGCCUUCUAGAGCAAGAUCUCAGUACCGGGACGAAUCACAACGGAACAGUAACAAACGCAGAAAAAGCACGGACACCGUCCAACUUCUAUCUUAUAAAAAGCUAGAGAGUGGCGAAGUCGCAGGUGGAAGUCCUUCUUCAUCUGGAAGAAGACGGGGACCAGGAAAUGACGGGCCUAUCCAAACGUUCGGGGUGCACAGAAGCCAUGUGAUUUUAGUCAAGGCCAAAAAACGCCGCCGUGGUAGUUCAGUGGCGAAAGUUGUGGCCGGUGGUGCGGCCUUAGGUGCUGCGGCUGCCGCCACACACCAUCUUCUUAGUGGUGGAAGUGACCAGAGCCACGGAAGUGCAAGUGAAGGUAAUGAAGCUGAUAGUCCUGACGUUAAUAAACAGGGCUCGGAAGAUGCCGCACCUAGUAACGGAA
rnacentral:lncRNA from 1 species